GGCCACAUCAUGUUGAAACACCGGUUCCCCUACGAUAACCAAAGUUAAGCAACGUCGAACCUGAUCUGUACCUAGAUGGGUGACCGUUUAGGAAUAACACGUGCUGUAAG